UGAUAGCUUCGUUUAGGUCACCUGGGUC
rnacentral:sRNA from 1 species